rnacentral:rRNA from 1 species
GUCUAUGGCCAUAUCACCCGGAACGCACCCGAUCUUGCUGUUCUUGGAAGCUAAGCAGGGUACAGCCUGGUUAGGACUUGCAUGGGAGACCACCUGAGAAUAUCGGGUGCUGUAGGUU